GCUAAUACCGUCAUAACAAUAAGAAUCGAAUGUUCUUAUUUGAAAGAUGGUUUCGGCUAUACACUUUAGGAUGGACCUGCGGCGUAUUAGCUAGUUGGUAAGGUAAUGGCUUACCAAGGCGAUGAUACGUAGCCGACCUGAGAGGGUGAUCGGCCACAUUGGGACUGAGACACGGCCCAA
rnacentral:rRNA from 1 species